GAUGAACGCUGGCGGCGUGCCUAAUACAUGCAAGUCGAGCGAACGGACGAGAAGCUUGCUUCUCUGAUGUUAGCGGCGGACGGGUGAGUAACACGUGGAUAACCUACCUAUAAGACUGGGAUAACUUCGGGAAACCGGAGCUAAUACCGGAUAAUUUUUUGAACCGCAUGGUUCAAAAGUGAAAGACGGUCUUGCUGUCACUUAUAGAUGGAUCCGCGCUGCAUUAGCUAGUUGGUAAGGUAACGGCUUACCAAGGCAACGAUGCAUAGCCGACCUGAGAGGGUGAUCGGCCACACUGGAACUGAGACACGGUCCAGACUCCUACGGGAGGCAGCAGUAGGGAAUCUUCCGCAAUGGGCGAAAGCCUGACGGAGCAACGCCGCGUGAGCGAUGAAGGUCUUCGGAUCGUAAAACUCUGUUAUUAGGGAAGAACAUAUGUGUAAGUAACUGUGCACAUCUUGACGGUACCUAAUCAGAAAGCCACGGCUAACUACGUG
rnacentral:rRNA from 1 species